rnacentral:rRNA from 2 species
UUUAGUGAUUAUUGCGGUGGUGAACACCUCUUACCAUUUCGAACAGAGAAGUUAAGACCACUUGCGCAGAUGGUACUACAUUGUGGGAGAGUAUGUAAUCGCUAAUU